rnacentral:rRNA from 1 species
GUGGGGAAUAUUGGGCAAUGGGCGAAAGCCUGACCCAGCAACGCCGCGUGAAGGAAGAAGGUUUUCGGAUCGUAAACUUCUAUCCUUGGUGAAGAUAAUGACGGUAGCCAAGAAGGAAGCCCCGGCUAACUACGUGCCAGCAGCCGCGGUAAUACGUAGGGGGCAAGCGUUGUCCGGAAUGAUUGGGCGUAAAGGGCGCGUAGGCGGCCCGGUAAGUCUGAAGUGAAUGUCCUGCUUUUAAGGUGGGAAGUGCUUUGGAUACUGUCGGGCUUGAGUGCAGGAGAGGUAAGCGGAAUUCCCGGUGUAGCGGUGAAAUGCGUAGAGAUCGGGAGGAACACCAGUGGCGAAGGCGGCUUACUGGAUUGUAACUGACGCUGAGGCGCGAAAGUGUGGGGAGCAAACAGGAUUAGAUACCCCAGUAGUCC